GUUCACCAGUGGGUGGAGAACAACGCAUCUUUUUCUGCAUCGAGUUGGAGUUUGGUGAUUCAUGGAGUUGUUCCUAUGUGCUUGUGUGUAUAGUUGAUUGACAACAUAUGCCAAUUUUUGGUCAACUGAUGACUUGAGACAAUAAAGAUAUAUGAAAACGUUGAGAAGACUGAAGAUUCUUACAAUCACCAUAAUCUCUAAUAAUGAAGGCCUUAUCACUUAUAAAUUUGUGUAUAUGAAGUAGAAUGUUCCAACACUGAUGAUCCAAGGAUUUGUUGAUAGCAGUGUGAUAGAGCAGUCAAUUAACAUCAGGAAUAUGUUCAUCCACAGUAAUAUGCCCCAACUUUUAGACCACCCCCACUGGGUAGAAAGACCAUCAAGCCACCAAGUAGAUGAGGAAGAAGUUCUGGAUUCCACCUGAUAAUUGCUGCCUACAGUCCCUUUGGAUGUAACUAAAUUUCAAGUGACAAGUAGUUUUCAAGGAAGAAAUGUCUCAAAAAUGUGCUGCAGAUGCCAAGGGGUAGAACAGUUGUCAUUGAUGUAGUUGAUGAUCUCUCGAGCACCAGAAUGGAUCCAUAAAUGUUGCAGACUUUCAGUUCUGACUGGUGGAAGCCACUUCACUCCAUCAGUGAUUCUUUCUUUCCAAAUGACAAUGUGUAAUGGGCCAGCCAUGUCUGAUUUCCUGCAGAUGACCAGUAUCCUCCCAUCCAGCCACAUAAACUUCAAGUGAUGUAUCCUAAUACUCUUCAAACUUCAAAGAUUGAUGGCAUUCAAAGAAUAGGUGGAAGGGCUACACAAUUUGGAUGAUCAGACAUGCCAUAUGUUUUCCAUGGCCAUUUCAAAAUGAAAAAGUGUUCUUUAGUUCUCUUGUCGCUGAUUGUUGUUUGAUGCAUAUCAUUCUCAUGUUGUGGACUGCGAAGCACACAUGCGGUCAGCUGGAACACUGCAAAGUCGUAUCAUUUCCCUACUCUUGUCUUGAUAUGUUGAAACAAUUUGUUAGGAGGUUCUCACAGAGUGUGAAGUCUUCCUGACCUGCAUCUGACCAACUGUUGACUUGGUGGCUCAUCCCAAGAGAACAAUUGCAUUGUCACUGUUCUCUUCGUGGACUGGUGAGAGCCUUCAAAUCAACCUAAUGAAACACCAACACCAUGUAAUAUUAUUAUAUCCUUAGCACAUGCUGCUGUCGCAGUUUCUACCUUUACAUGGUGUGUACGGCAGAAGUGAAGAGGGCCUCCCCAGAGCAGCCCGCGUGCUCCAGGUACCAUGCUCCAUGGUGCAGAGUGCACGCAAGUCGAAAAGGUUGCGGACACACCAACUCCACUGCUGCUUCAAAUGUGUUUCUGUUCCAAGACCUUUGAGACCACAGCCGAUGGCUCUUCUGGCUUCGUUUCUGUUUCUGCUACCCUAGUUUAAGAAUGAUUAACAUAGUACUACUUUCUCUGAUCUCCUUGUUUCUCACUGAACAUAAUCACCGGAAUACAUGAAGAAGAAGAAGAAGAAGAAGAAGAAGAAGAAGAAGAAGAAGAAGAAGAACAAAAAAAAAUGCAACACCAAAAGGAUCCUAAGUUGUUAACACUUUGCAUCAUAGUCACUUGUACCAAAAGCUGUGAAGCAAGCAAAGAGUGUUUGUGGUUGGUAGUGCUUUGGACUUAUAGCUUUUAUCGGUAAGCUUACUGCCUUUAGAUGGCCUGCUCCUUGUUCUGGUCUCCAUGUCUCUAUCAUCUCUUCCUAGUCUUCUCGGUUGCCUUUCCCAUCAGCAAGUGCAAAUUGUGAGAGUCACAUGGUUGCUGGUGUUUAGUCUUUGUAUGUCUUCCUCGGGGUGGCUUUUCUCAAAAGGGUUGAUGCUAGGCAACCUUUCUUUGUCUGUGAAACUUGUUGACUGAGGAAAGCCGAAGCAUUCAUCAUCUUUAUGCAAAAGUACAUUUCCAUUACUCCUCUUUCUUCAGUGGGUUAUGUCAUGCUUUUAUCCCACAGAACUACUUUCACCUAAACACUUUCUUGUGUUUGUCGUAGACUUAGCUUUAUGGAGCUGCAUCUUUUUACAGAAAAGCUUGUAUGCAUCUGCCCUGUCAUAAUAAUGCCACCGACGCAUCAUGAGCAUGCUUUGCUAACACAUUCCAGAAAGCUGUCUGAGAAGCAGAAUGAAGAGUUUGGUUUUGGUGAUCAGUGAUAAGUUACUCUAAUCCUUCUUUUAGCACAACACUACAGAAGAAGUUGUGGUGUGGAGAAUCUCUCAACUUCAGUUGAGAGGAGAAAACAUCUUCAGAGGAAGUCAGCUUUUCCUUGAUGAGAAUAGAGAGACUGUGGAGUCAAGAAAUUAGCAAAGCCAGUAUCUGAUAUGCUUGUUAGCUGAUGCAAUGCCAUACAAAAGAUCAACUGUAACAAUCCAGCAUUUGAUGCAAUUUCAUCAACAUGGAGGACACCCCAUUGAUGCCCUGUUCUUGUCAGAUUUAAAGAGGAAACACGAGCUCCACCAUCACGCUACGUUGUUUCUUCUAGCAGGAGUAAAGCAAACGGAAAUCUCAACAAACAAGAAGA